CCCUUAGAUGCUCUGGGCCGCACGCGCGCUACACUGGUCGAUGCAACGAGUUUCUUUCCUUGGCCGACAGGCCUGGGCAAUCUUUGAACAUCGAUCGUGAUCGGGAUAGAUUCUUGUAAUUUUUGAUCUUAAACGAGGAAUUCCUAGUAAACGCAAGUCAUCAGCUUGCAUUGAUUACGUCCCUGCCCUUUGUACACACCGCCCGUCGCACCUACCGAUUGAAUGGUCCGGUGAAAUCUCCGGACUGGCGUUAGUCGGAGCAAUCUGACAAACACCGGAAAGUUGAUUAAACCUUACCAUUUAGAGGAAGGUGAAGUCGUAACA
rnacentral:rRNA from 1 species